UGGCGGACGGGUGAGUAAUGUCCGGGAAACUGCCUGAUGGAGGGGGGUAACUACUGGAAACGGUAGCUAAUACCGCAUAACGUCGCAAGACCAAAGAGGGGGACCUUCGGGCCUCUUGCCAUCGGAUGUGCCCAGAUGGGAUUAGCUAGUAGGUGGGGUAAAGGCUCACCUAGGCGACGAUCCCUAGCUGGUCUGAGAGGAUGACCAGCCACACUGGAACUGAGACACGGUCCAG
rnacentral:rRNA from 1 species